rnacentral:rRNA from 1 species
UAGGGAAUCUUCGGCAAUGGGGGGAACCCUGACCGAGCAACGCCGCGUGAGUGAAGAAGGUUUUCGGAUCGUAAAGCUCUGUUGUUAAGGAAGAACGAGUGUGAGAAUGGAAAGUUCAUGCUGUGACGGUACCGGAAUAGAAAGCCACGGCUAACUACGUGCCAGCAGCCGCGGUAAUACGUAGGUGGCAAGCGUUGUCCGGAAUUAUUGGGCGUAAAGCGCGCGCAGGCGGACUAGCCAGUCAGUCUUAAAAGUUCGGGGCUUAACCCCGUGAUGGGAUUGAAACUACUAGUCUAGAGUAUCGGAGAGGAAAGUGGAAUUCCUAGUGUAGCGGUGAAAUGCGUAGAUAUUAGGAAGAACACCAGUGGCGAAGGCGACUUUCUGGUCUGUAACUGACGCUGAUGUGCGAAAGCGUGGGAAUCAAACAGG